rnacentral:rRNA from 1 species
CCUACGGGAGGCAGCAGUGGGGAAUUUUCCGCAAUGGGCGAAAGCCUGACGGAGCAAUACCGCGUGAGGGAUGACGGCCUAUGGGUUGUAAACCUCUUUUUUCAGGGAGGAAUAAAUGACGUGUACCUGAAGAAUAAGCAUCGGCUAACUCCGUGCCAGCAGCCGCGGUAAGACGGAGGAUGCAAGUGUUAUCCGGAAUCACUGGGCGUAAAGCGUCUGUAGGUGGUUUAAUAAGUCAACUGUUAAAUCUUGAGGCUUAACUUCAAAAUCGCAGUCGAAACUAUUAGACUAGAGUAUAGUAGGGGUAAAGGGAAUUUCCAGUGGAGCGGUGAAAUGCGUAGAGAUUGGAAAGAACACCGAUGGCGAAGGCACUUUACUGGGCUAUUACUAACACUCAGAGACGAAAGCUAGGGUAGCAAAUGGGAUUAGAUACCCCAGUAGUC